rnacentral:rRNA from 1 species
AACGAACGCUGGCGGCAUGCUUAACACAUGCAAGUCGAACGAUGCUUUCGGGCAUCGUGGCGCACGGGUGCGUAACGCGUGGGAAUCUGCCCUUGGGUUCGGAAGCACAGUGAGAAAUUGCUGCUAAUACCGGUUGAUGUCUUCGGACCAAAGAUGUAGCGCCCAGGGAUGAGCACGCGUAGGAUUGGCUAGUUGGUGGGGUAAUGGCCGACGAUGGCGACGAUACUUAGCUGGUCUGAGAGCAUGAUCAGCCACCCUUGAAAUGAGACACGGCCUAGACUCGGACGAAAAGGAGCAGAAGAAAGCAUAGGAGGAUGGGGGCAAGCAUGGUCCAGCAACGCCGGGAGGGAGAAGCAGGCCUUAGGGUUAUAAAGCGCUAUUACCCGAGAUGAUAAUGACAGUAACGGGAGAAUAAGCUCCGGCUAAGUCCGUG